rnacentral:rRNA from 1 species
AUACGGAGGGUGCAAGCGUUAAUCGGAAUUACUGGGCGUAAAGCGCUCGUAGGCGGUUUGUUAAGUCGGAUGUGAAAGCCCCGGGCUCAACCUGGGAACUGCAUUCGAUACUGGCAAACUAGAGUAUAGUAGAGGCAAGUGGAAUUCCGGGUGUAGCGGUGAAAUGCGUAGAUAUCCGGAGGAACAUCAGUGGCGAAGGCGACUUGCUGGACUAAUACUGACGCUGAGGAGCGAAAGCGUGGGGAGCAAACGGGAUUAGAAACCCCGGUAGUCC